UUCAGUGUGAACGGAAGGGGCAAAUUCGUAAAACAGAUAAGCGUCGUCUUCGUGUAGGGUUUAGGCGGAAAACACAGACCCUGUCACCACUCUCAUCUCAUCAUACUCACCAACACCAUUACACACCAACAGCUUCUUCCAUUCCCCCAUCCAAUUCAAUGCGAUGUUGAGAAACAAAACUUGCCACUAACUUCCUCAACAACCAUUAACAAUGAGGUUCUAUUCUCGCUUCAAACACUUAUCCCAUCUCCUUCAAACCCUAACUCCACAUCAAAACCCUCCCCUCGCUUCUGCACGGAUCUCGAUCUUACCCAACGCGCAAUCCCUACUACGACCCUCUCACGCGCGUGGCUAUUGCACCGCGUCGCAGUCGCACACUUCGGAGAAGGUGGCGGCCAUCGUAGACGAGGUGAUGGGACUGACAUUACUGGAAGUUAUGGACCUGGUGGAGGUGAUGCGCGAAAAGCGCGGUGUCAACGAGCUUCCAAUCAUGAUGUUGAUGGUGCCGGGAAUGGGGGUGCGGGGCGUGCCGAGAGGUGCGCCCAAGGGCGGCGGUGGCAGCGAGGGAGGAGAGGUGAAGGUGGCGGAGAAGACGGCGUUUGAUUUGAAGCUUGAGGGUUUCGAUGCGGCGGGGAAGAUCAAGGUGAUUAAGGAGGUGAGGACCUUCACGAGUUUGGGGUUGAAGGAAGCUAAGGAUUUGGUGGAGAAGGUGCCUGCGGUGUUGAAGAAAGGGGUCACGAAAGAAGAGGCUGAGAGUAUCAUUGCCAAGAUGAAGGCGGUUGGCGCAAAGGUUUCCAUGGAAUAAUGAGGGAUCAAAGAAAAAGAAAUUUUGUCAGCAGUGAUCCUAACAACAACCAAAGUUUGAAGCUCCUAGGUUCAAUGAGAUGACUUAUCCCUCCUUUAGCCAGAUUGCUGUACGAAAAGACAAGAUGACGUACAAAAACAUGGGGUAGAGUAUUUUUUGCUUCGAUCAAGUGUCGCAGCUUAUUCCUCACAUUCAAGUUAUCGGCAGGUGAUGGAAGUCAAUUAAUGCGUUGUUACAAAGCGAAACUGCUAUCCCUUGUAUUUGAAAACUUUGCUGAGCACACUAUGCUCCCACCUCACUGCCUUUUUUUUUAUUGAUUUCUCCUUUACAUAAGGCACAUUUUACCUUGAAUUUUUUAUCAUUUCUUAACCAAUGUUGUAGAAUUGGUUUAUGACAAUGGAAUCAUUUUUGAACCAACAUAUA